GUAAUAGGUAUGCUUUAGGAGGGGCUUGCGCCAUAUUAGUUAGUUGGUAAGGUAAUGGCCUACCAAGACGAUGAUGUGUAGCUGGACUGAGAGGUUGAACAGCCACAUUGGGACUGAGACACGGCCCAAACUCCUACGGGAGGCAGCAGUAGGGAAUUUUCGGCAAUGGAGGAAACUCUGACCGAGCAACGCCGCGUGAAUGACGAAGUACUUCGGUAUGUAAAGUUCUUUUAUCAAGGAAGAAAAGCAAAUGGCGAACCAUUUGUUUGCCGGUACUUGAUGAAUAAGCCCCGGCUAAUUAUGUGCCAGCAGCCGCGGUAAGACAUAAGGGGCAAGUGUUAUCCGGAAUUAUUGGGCGUAAAGGGUGCGUAGGCGGUCUAGUAAGUCAGUGGUGUAAUGGCAACGCUUAACGUUGUCCGGCUAUUGAAACUGCUAAACUUGAGUUAGAUAGAGGCGAGUGGAAUUCCAUGUGUAGCGGUAAAAUGCGUAAAUAUAUGGAGGAACACCAGAGGCGUAGGCGGCUCGCUGGGUCUUAACUGACGCUGAGGCACGAAAGCGUGGGGAGCAAACAGGAUUAGAUACCCUGGUAGUCCACGCCGUAAACGAUGAGUACUAAGUGUCGGGUUAAACCGGUACUGAAGUUAACACAUUAAGUACUCCGCCUGAGUAGUACGUACGCAAGUAUGAAACUUAAAGGAAUUGACGGGACUCCGCACAAGCGGUGGAUCAUGUUGUUUAAUUCGAAGAUACCCGAAAAACCUUACCAGGUCUUGACAUGUUUUUGCAAAAUGAUAGUAAUAUCGUGGAGGUUACCAGAAACACAGGUGGUGCAUGGUUGUCGUCAGCUCGUGUCGUGAGAUGUUAGGUUAAGUCCUAAAACGAGCGAAACCCUUAUCGUUAGUUGCCAGCACGUUAUGGUGGGGACUUUAACGAGACUGCCAAUGAUAAAUUGGAGGAAGGUGAGGAUCACGUCAAAUCAGCAUGCCCCUUAUGACCUGGGCUACAAACGUGAUACAAUGGCUGUUACAAAGGGUAGCUGAAACGCAAGUUCUUGGCCAAUCCCCAAAAACAGUCCCAGUCCGGAUUGAAGUCUGCAACUCGACUUCAUGAAGUUGGUAUCGCUAGUAAU
rnacentral:rRNA from 1 species